GAUGAACGCUGGCGGCGUGCCUAAUACAUGCAAGUCGAGCGAAUGGAUUAAGAUCUUGCUCUUAUGAAGUUAGCGGCGGACGGGUGAGUAACACGUGGGUAACCUGCCCAUAAGACUGGGAUAACUCCGGGAAACCGGGGCUAAUACCGGAUAACAUUUUGAACCGCAUGGUUCGAAGUUGAAAGGCGGCUUCGGCUGUCACUUAUGGAUGGACCCGCGUCGCAUUAGCUGGUUGGUGAGGUAACGGCUCACCAAGGCAACGAUGCGUAGCCGACCUGGGAGGGUGAUCGGCCACACUGGGACUGAGACACGGCCCAGACUCCUACGGGAGGCAGCAGUAGGGAAUCUUCCGCAAUGGACGAAAGUCUGACGGAGCAACGCCGCGUGAGUGAUGAAGGCUUUCGGGUCGUAAAACUCUGUUGUUAGGGAAGAACAAGUGCUAGUUGAAUAAGCUGGCACCUUGACGGUACCUAACCAGAAAGCCACGGCUAACUACGUGCCAGCCGCCGCCGUAA
rnacentral:rRNA from 1 species